rnacentral:rRNA from 1 species
CAGAGGGUGCGAACGUUGUUCGGAAUUACUGGGCGUAAAGCGCGUGUAGGCGGCAGCGUGUGUCGGGCGUGAAAUCCCACGGCUCAACCGUGGAAGUGCACUCGAAACUGCGCAGCUAGAGUCCUGGAGAGGAAGGUGGAAUGCUUGGUGUAGAGGUGAAAUUCGUAGAUAUCAAGCGGAACACCGGUGGCGAAGGCGGCCUUCUGGACAGUGACUGACGCUGAGACGCGAAAGCGUGGGGAGCAAACAGGAUUAGAUACCCUGGUAGUCCACGCCGUAAACGAUGAGUGCUAGGUGUCACGGGCUUUGACCCUCGUGGUGCCGAAGCUAACGCGUUAAGCACUCCGCCUGGGGAGUACGGCCGCAAGGCUA